CAGUCGCCACGGGAACACGUAGGGUGCGAGCGUUAAUCGGAAUUACUGGGCGUAAAGCGUGCGCAGGCGGUUCGUUAAGACAGAUGUGAAAUCCCCGGGCUUAACCUGGGAACUGCAUUUGUGACUGACGGGCUAGAGUAUGGCAGAGGGGGGUAGAAUUCCACGUGUAGCAGUGAAAUGCGUAGAGAUGUGGAGGAAUACCGAUGGCGAAGGCAGCCCCCUGGGCCAAUACUGACGCUCAUGCACGAAAGCGUGGGGAGCAAACAGGAUUAGAUACCCGCGUAGUCCCUGUCUCUUAUAC
rnacentral:rRNA from 1 species